AGGACUACCCGGGUAUCUAAUCCUGUUUGCUCCCCAUGCUUUCGAGCCUCAGCGUCAAUAUGGGUCCAGUCAGCCGCCUUCGCAACUGGUGUUCUUGGAGAUCUCUACGCAUUCCACCGCUACACCUCCAAUUCCACUGACCUCUCCCCUAUUCAAGAUUCCCAGUUUCAAGUGCCUGUCCGGGGUUGGGCCCCGGGAUUAACACCUGACUUAGAAACCCGCCUACGCUCCCUUUACGCCCAGUGAUUCCGAACAACAUUUGCCCCCCUCGUAUUACCGCGGCGGCUGGCACC
rnacentral:misc_RNA from 1 species